rnacentral:rRNA from 1 species
CCUACGGGAGGCAGCAGUGGGGAAUAUUGGGCAAUGGGCGCAAGCCUGACCCAGCAACGCCGCGUGAAGGAAGAAGGCUUUCGGGUUGUAAACUUCUUUUAUGAGGGACGAAAGAAAUGACGGUACCUCAUGAAUAAGCCACGGCUAACUACGUGCCAGCAGCCGCGGUAAUACGUAGGUGGCAAGCGUUAUCCGGAUUGACUGGGUGUAAAGGGCGUGUAGGCGGGACUGCAAGUCUGAUGUGAAAAUUAUGGGCUCAACCCAUGACCUGCAUUUGAAACUGUAGUUCUUGAGUGCUGGAGAGGCAAUCGGAAUUCCGGGUGUAGCGGUGAAAUGCGUAGAUAUACGGAGGAACACCAGUGGCGAAGGCGGAUUGCUGGACAGUAACUGACGCUGAGGCGCGAAAGCGUGGGGAGCAAACAGGAUUAGAUACCCGAGUAGUC